CGUAGGGGGCUAGCGUUGUCCGGAAUCAUUGGGCGUAAAGCGCGCGUAGGCGGCCCGGUAAGUCCGCUGUGAAAGUCAAAGGCUCAACCUUUGAAUGUCAGCGGAUACUGCCGGGCUAGAGUCCGGAAGAGGCGAGUGGAACUCCUGGCGUAGCGGUGGAAUGCGCAGAUAUCAGGAAGAACACCAACGGCGAAGGCAGCUCGCUGGGACGGAACUGACGCUAAGGCGCGAAAGCGUGGGGAGCGAACAGGAUUAGAUACCCUGGUAGUCCACGCCGUAAACGAUAGGGCACUAGGUGUGGGGAGGUGUCGACUCCUCCCGUGCCGGCGCUAACGCAUUAAGUGCCCCGCUGGGGAGUACGGCCGCAAGGUU
rnacentral:rRNA from 1 species